AAACGAGAGAAACUGUGGGUAAGCCCAGGGCUGCCUGGCCCUGACUAGAUACCACCGAGUUAGCAUUUUAGCUUUUUUUUUUUCCCUGAGAGUAAUCAUCCGAUUUUUAUUCUAAGGAGAACUCCGGUUUCUGGCCCCUUUGAGAGCUUAAGAAAGAUUCGGACACCUACCUGCUUGAGAAUGUCAUAUGAAUGCCAACGGCAGGCAGGGAGUUGUGAUCCUGAGAUGAAGAAGAUAACCACUACACCUUUCUGCAUUUCCAGUCCCAAUGUUUCCCAGGUGUUUGCUAAGUAAACGCUCUUGGCAGCCACAAGGCAAGCAAACUCUGCUAGGUCAGGCACAAACUUGCCAGGCUAUGAAGCGAUGGAGAACAGCCAUACUACAGAGAGCUGGGAAAAGGAAGACAUCGCAGAAGGGCGUCGCAACAGUUUCCUGUGCUCAUUGGAGCAUCGCCUAAUUUGUUUUUGCAGCGUUUCUGCUCAGAUGUCUCACCUCAGUGAGACAAGCAUCUUCCUCGAACUCCACAUCUGCAGAGCGGAGUUUUAUCAAUGUCAUUAGACUAAGUGGACUCACGGUUUUCACACCCUAUUAUUUAUAAAAUGUCUAUGAUCCUUAGAAA